UACGUAGGGUGCGAGCGUUGUCCGGAUUCACUGGGCGUAAAGGGUGCGUAGGCGGUUUGACAAGUCUGAUGUGAAAUCCCGCAGCUUAACUGCGGAACUGCAUUGGAAACUGUUUGACUAGAGGAAUGGAGGGGAGACUGGAAUACUUGGUGUAGCAGUGAAAUGCGUAGAUAUCAAGUGGAACACCAGUGGCGAAGGCGAGUCUCUGGACAUUUCCUGACGCUGAGGCACGAAAGCCAGGGGAGCAAACGGG
rnacentral:rRNA from 1 species